rnacentral:rRNA from 1 species
UACGGAGGGUGCAAGCGUUAUCCGGAUUCACUGGGUUUAAAGGGUGCGUAGGCGGGUUGGUAAGUCAGUGGUGAAAUCCCCGAGCUUAACUCGGAACGGCCAAGUGAAACUGUCAAGCUAGAGUGCAGAAGGGGCAAUCGGAAUUCUUGGUGUAGCGGUGAAAUGCGUAGAUAUCAAGAGGAACACCUGAGGUGAAGACGGGUUGCUGGGCUGACACUGACGCUGAGGCGCGAAAGCCAGGGGAGCAAACGGG